UUGCCGGGCCUCUUUUGCUGCUUGGAACCUGACCCUUGUGGUGCCUUGACUUCUCUGCCAGCGUGCUGCGCGUUUCCAGCCAGCAUCAGGGCAGGAACCCCUCUCCUGUCCCUGUCAGUUAUGGGCCUGCAUUAACACCAUUUUCAAGAUGGAGCUCCAUCAGCCACACCAUGGAAAAUCUGGAAGAUUGGUGAAGUGCAACCAGCACAAGCACCCUUUUCUCUGCAGCACCGCCACCCAGAGAUGAUUAUUGAUUCCAUUUGGGGAUACGUUUCAUUCAUUAAGG